rnacentral:lncRNA from 1 species
AGGUUGUCUGGAGUUCCUUUUAAAAUCCUUCCAACCUUUAAAAAAAAAAAAAAAGAAGACGGAUAAGAAGAAGAAGAGAGAAAAGAAAAAAGUUUCAUUUUUAAGCAUGCGCCUGGGAUGGGGAAAGACCAACCAGUUGGGGCUUUCUCCAGGGCUCCCGGGGGCUGUGUCUGAGCGUCUGCGUUGGCUGUUUGGCUUGGUUUGGUUUUGUCGCUGGAGGUUGCUUACAGGUUUGGGGAGGAAGUGACUGGUUAGGUUGAGAGCUGGGAACUGAGUCAGGUAAUCCUUGUCAUACUGUAACUCCACCAGAAAAUGGAGGAGAGCGGGCUUCCAGGAGACAAAGCUGAGAUGAGAAGUGUUUAUAAAAUUAUGGAUGUCUCCAUUUUGAAGCUCUGUUGGUGGUGGCUGAAGGAAGAAGCAUGCCUGCCUAUUCCUUCUGCCUCUCCAGAGGGAGACCUUGUGGUGGUUCCUCACUAUCUAGUCAUUAAAGUAAGGAAAUGAAAGCUUUUAAGGGUUCCUCAGAUUUUUUUUUUGUCCUCCCACCCAAGCAGUUCCUUCACAAGUUACUGAGAUGUUUGUUUCCAUUUUAAAGUAAACUUUUGGAAUUUUUUUUCUCCUUUUGGAGUGGACCUGAAGGGUUUUGAUCUCCUUCAGGAAAGGCAAAGCAAAACCUUAAAACGUUUCCACAGAGAUCUCCCAACUUUCAGCUGCUCCAAGUCCCCUGACUGUCUCCAGGAAAUGUUAUUUCCUCAGUAUGGGGAUGGUUGGUGACCCUCAGCUAAGCCUUUUUUUCCUCCUCUUUCGAGUUCUGGGGCUUGGUUAUCAUUAGUCUGAUGCAUUGCAAGACUUUAUUGUCUGGUUUGGGUUGAUUUCUGCCAGGAAGAAUAGAAUAUGUUCCUUCCAGAUCUCAGAGGAACCCUUAAGCCUGGCAGUCUCUUCAGGUUCUCCAUGCCUCUCCAGGCUGCUUGCUCCAUCCGUGUGUUAGGCCUUCCUGCUUCCUUUGUUUCCCCUCUUCCCUUUCCUUCUGCUGGGUUUCUUUUUCCUUCUGUGUUCUCCAGUACUGUAAAUCUUCAGAAAUAUCACUAUGUCUUCCUAACAAUGUCACUAUGGAAACAAAUGGUAUCAGUUGAGAAAACCUUAUGACCAGGUAUCUUAACCUUUUUAAUUGGAGGAAUUUAUUAAUCUUGUAGGGAGACAUUUUGUGAGGGUGGUUUGAGAACAGGAGCCAGCCCUACCUUAGCACAUACACACUGCUGUGGAGCCCUUUGCAGAUUAGUUCUAGAGACUGUAUGCAGUUGACCCAAGGAAAGAACUGAAUUCUGAAAUGCUUUCAGGAUUUACAAAAGAUGAAGAUGUUGCUUUCCCAUUAGCUAAGGUAGCCAUCUUGAGGAUGAGGGAAGAUGUUGGGAGAAUUUUGCAUGGCCUAUUGAAGAUGGGUGAGGAAGGGUUCACAGAGGGAUGAAAACUUGGAGGAGGUUCAGAACCAAUUAACAGAUUCUAAGGGGGCUAAUUGGACCUUGCUUCCAACUAAGGAGAAAUGCAGAAAGGUACCAGCUUCAACAGAAAUAAGGACACAUUGGUGAGCCGCUGACACCAGCCUUUUUCUUGCUUUGCUUUCUCAUUAGGUGUCAGAUUUUUGAACGAAAAGUUCCUUCUGUCUACAGUGUUUUUGUGCAUAUUGAAGUGGUUUUUUGAUUCCAGAUGUAAUUAUAUUCUGUUGAGGAGCUGGUAGCAAUGUCACUCAGUAAAUGCACAAUGCUGUAUAUGACAACAUCACAUUUUUCAAACCAAACUGUUGUGUCAUUAAUUGAGGGUUAUUGUUCUUCAGAGGGGUGUGAAGGGAGACAGGAAAAUACAUGGCUCUUUAGCUGAUAAUUGUCCAUGGUCAAUGAAGUAAAACCCUGGUUGUACAGAUGAAGAUGUAUGGUUUUCAGUUGAUGUGUAUGUUCAUUUAAAAAUAGAAUGUUUAGAUCUUUGCCCCUUUAUUAAAGUCCUGGGCUUCUCCAAGAGUACUUAGAAAAACAAAUUCUUGCCUGGAAUCAGACCUUUUAAUUUUCAUUUUAAAGUGUUAUCUUUGACUGGAUUGCUUUGGUUUUUAAAUUGUCAUGGUAUAUUUAAAUUUGGUAAUGCAUAUAUGAAUGCUUCAUAUUCAGCUUGGAAGUUUAAAUGCAGUAGAUAGUUAUUUGGGCAAGUAAUUAUCAGAUAAUUUUGCAUCUAAUUAGCUUGUGUUUAUAUAAACAUAAAUAUGUUGAUCUUGAAACAAACUUUCGUGAUAUCUUUAUGGUUGUUAAUAUUGGGGCAAGUGAUUAAUUUGUUUUAGUGUGUUGGGUAGGGGUGUGAAAAAAUGCCAGUCACUAUAGAACCUGACUCACUACAUUUUUUUACUUGGAAAUCAAAUGAUUUGGUGUCUUCUCCAGACAGUGUUAAAAGUUGAAUGUAUCUGGAAAUUGGGGGGAAGGGGGAGUGAGGUACCUAAUAGGCAUUUUGGAAUUUGAGAAUAUAUUCUGAUAUUCUAAAAAACGCUUGCAUGCGCAUUGUCUUUAACCAAUACGGUAGGUCCCAUAUCAUUUUUAAGGGCAUGAUUUCUUUUCUGUUUUUUCUUUCUUUCUUUCUUUCUUUCUUUCCUUCCUUCCUUCCUUCCUUCCUUCCUUCCUUCCUUCCUUCCUUCCUUCCUUCCUUCCUUUCUUUUUUUUUUUCUAGACCAACAUGCUUGAAUUGAGCACUUUGAAUUAAGCAUAAUGAAAGGAAUAAACAAGAUCAGGUUGAACAUUUCUCAUUUGCUGUCAAAGCUCAGAGAUCAUUUUUGAUGUGAGGUGUCAAGUCCACGAGGAUUAUUCCUGCCAUACAAGAGAUAGCUGUUGGGUCAUCAUAAUUCACUAAUAUUUCUUUUCUUGACUUUACGAAUGAUCCGUUGAUCUUGUUCCCUUAAGACCCUUCUUAUUCUACCCCUAACCCCACCAGGUGUUGAGGACAACUUUUAGAAAAAAAAGUCCAUGUCUAUUUUCCCUAAUGUGUCUGAGGGAAGACAGUAGAGCUAGGGAUCCAAGUUUAUUAAUGAGCUUUAGAGCACUUGUCAGUUUUCUUCAAAGAAGGGAGGGUAAAGUGGCUUUGAGCAUGAGUCUUGUUUCAUGUGUGAUUGAGUUUAAUAGGGUCUAGUCUUCCUUUAGUUAUUCCCGAUGUUGAGAGUUUUAGGCAAGGUAACCUUUAUCUUCUUUCUGGUAUGUGAAUCUUUCAGAUAGACAGUUCACCGAGUUACACAAAAGAGGAUUCACGGGUCUGGGUUGAGUUCAUUCUAAGUUGGGAACAGAGGAACUGGAGACGGCGAAGUGCUGUCUCAGUGUUACAGGUGUGGGUUAAGAAGCACAUAAGCAACUAAUCCAAAUCACAUGACGGUGACUAUGAGUCUGAGACUAUGUGGAUACUACAGAUUCGGAAGACGUUGGAGUGAGAGCUAGGGCUGUAGCUCUGUGCUAGACUGAGGUCCUAAGUUCAAUCCCCAGAACUUGAGGGGAGAAGGUUUCCCUGGUCUACGGACAAAAUUCAGCAAACUGAGACAUUUGCCAGGUGAUAUGUGGACAUAUUUGUGACAGUAGCUUGUGAUAGUCCUGUGCUUCUGAAGUUGAAGGCUUUGAGAGAAAACAUUAUCUGGGUGUUGGUGACCUAUUAAUUGAUUAUGAGAAAACAGAGAAGAGAAUAGAUAAUGCUAAAAGAAAAUUCCUCUCUCCUUGUGUGAUAUGCCAAGACAUCUGGCAGAUGUUAUGUGGGGCCCUAAGGAAUGGACAGUUUAAUUUUAGCCCUAGCAAGGAAAUGGGAAGCUCUAAGCUCUUUUAAUAGCACAAGUCUCAGUUUGGGGAAGGUUGCUUAAAAU